UUGGACACAGUACUCCAGCUGAGAACUUAAAAGUGCUCAAUGGGAACCAGAAUAAACUUCAACAUCCCACUAUGGCUCUGAUACCAAGCUUCCAGUUAUAGAGCCACAACUAAAACCCUUUAGCCACAUGAAGGACAUUUUCAGAAUACCAAAUGUGCAGUCGGCGACAGACCAGACAAAAUGGGUCAGAAGGAGAUACAUCGCCUUCCUAUGGGAUUUUUUUAUAGCAGAAAACUUAAGAAGCAAUGUGGAGCUCAACUUUGUUCUUUAGGAAAUGUGUGAAACUUGGAGAAGGACAUAGGGAAGCUGAAUUUAGCAUCAGGUGAUGCUGAACUUUAGUCACAAUCUUAUCAAGUCUGCUAGAAUAAGAAGGGUCUUAAUCCUGAUGAUAGCCUCAUGGAAAUAUACCUUGGAGAUGGGAGCCUCAGGAGUAGCUCUUGCUAGGGCUACCACCCUAGAAUUUUCUCUCUAAAACAUCUCAGGUCAUAAGGACUGAAGUGUCUGAUUUGUUGAGCUUCACCCUUAGAUCAGCUAUAAAAUGAACCAAAAGUCACUUACAAGCUGUUAUUUAGUUGAACAGCUGAGGAAAGAUUUUUCUCUUUGAGUCUAAAAGAUUAGAUGGAUUUGGAUUCUACAGUACCCCUUUGGUCACCCUUGGUCAUCUUGGUGUGGUCACAUGAGGCUAAGGGUGGGUGGAUGGGGAAGAGCUGAUUUCAUGCUUAGCUGCUACUUAUGUCCUUUGCUACUUAUGCUGCUUCAAGAAGCCCAAUAACUAAUAGCUCUUCCCACAUAACCUCUUUUAUAUGGCUGUGGGUUAGGAGCUGGCGCUGGCUUUUGAGGGAAACUUCCAUGGGGGAGAA